AAAGUCGUAACAAGGUUUCCGUAGGUGAACCUGCGGAAGGAUCAUUAUUGAAAUAAACCUGAUAAGUUGUUGCUGGUUCUCUAGGGAGCAUGUGCACACUUGUCAUCUUUGUAUCUUCACCUGUGCACAUUUUGUAGACCUGAGUAUCUCUCUGAAUGCUUUAUGGCACUCAGGAUUGAGAGUUGACUUUUUGUCUCUUCUUAUAUUCUCAGGUCUAUGUUUUUCAUAUACCCCAAUGUAUGUUUAUAGAAUGUAAUUAAUAGGCCUUUGUGCCUAUAAACCUUUACAACUUUCAGCAACGGAUCUCUUGGCUCUCGCAUCGAUGAAGAACGCAGCGAAAUGCGAUAAGUAAUGUGAAUUGCAGAAUUCAGUGAAUCAUCGAAUCUUUGAACGCACCUUGCGCUCCUUGGUAUUCCGAGGAGCAUGCCUGUUUGAGUGUCAUUAAUAAUAUCAACCUCUUUGGUUGGAUGUGGGUUUGCUGGCCUUUUUGAGGUCAGCUCCCCUUAAAUGCAUUAGCGGACAACAUUUUGCCAACUGUUCUUUGGUGUGAUAAUUAUCUACGCCAUUGAUGUGAAGCAAAGGUUCGGCUUCUAACAGUCCAUUGACUUGGACAAACUCUUUUCUUAUUAAUGUGACCUCAAAUCAGGUAGGACUACCCGCUGAACUUAAGCAUAUCAAUAAGCGGAGGAAAAGAAACUAACAAGGAUUCCCCUAGUAACUGCGAGUGAAGCGGGAAAAGCUCAAAUUUAAAAUCUGAUAGUCUUUGGCUGUCCGAGUUGUAAUCUAGAGAAGCAUUAU
rnacentral:rRNA from 1 species